rfam:Erinaceus europaeus cont1.587823, whole genome shotgun sequence.
UCACACAGCACUGUACACAGAGUCUGUCCCCAAACAUUAUAUGUGGUGUUGUUUGGCUGGAAUUAAAGUAGUUU